ensembl:lncRNA
CAAGUGUGAAGAUGCCUACUGACUCAGAUUCCUUAGCUGUGGAAGGCUUAAUUCAUGCAUCUUGGAAGGCCAUCAUACAGUUUGGCUGCUGCUGCUGUCUGUUGUCAUCAAGAGUACAACUUCAAAGUCUAUAGGUAUACCUGUUGCUUCAGAGAAGAAACAAAGAUGUUAUGGAUGUGAUACGCUGCUUCCAAUGUCCUGCUGUGCAAAAUGGAUUUCUGAGAACGUUAAUUCUGGAUCCAGUAAAAGCCGAGAGCAUUCGGAACUGUGUGGGACAAAGUGCUGGUGCUUUGAUCUCAGGGUUGAAUUCAGAUGUGAGAACUGAAGAAGUCCUGACCUUGCAGAACAAGAUACAUAAAGAAGCCUGUGAUUCUCCACGACUUUUGUACUCUCUUUUUUUCAAAAUGUGGAAGACAACCUAAAUACUGCCACUAGCAAGUCUUUUAAAUGCCAGAUAGAGUUAGUCUGCACAAAAUGUAUAGUCC